rnacentral:rRNA from 1 species
AGAGUUUGAUCAUGGCUCAGAUUGAACGCUGGCGGCAGGCCUAACACAUGCAAGUCGAGCGGUAGCACAGAGAGCUUGCUCUCGGGUGACGAGCGGCGGACGGGUGAGUAAUGUCUGGGAAACUGCCUGAUGGAGGGGGAUAACUACUGGAAACGGUAGCUAAUACCGCAUAAUGUCGCAAGACCAAAGUGGGGGACCUUCGGGCCUCAUGCCAUCAGAUGUGCCCAGAUGGGAUUAGCUAGUAGGUGGGGUAACGGCUCACCUAGGCGACGAUCCCUAGCUGGUCUGAGAGGAUGACCAGCCACACUGGAACUGAGACACGGUCCAGACUCCUACGGGAGGCAGCAGUGGGGAAUAUUGCACAAUGGGCGCAAGCCUGAUGCAGCCAUGCCGCGUGUGUGAAGAAGGCCUUCGGGUUGUAAAGCACUUUCAGCGGGGAGGAAGGCGAUAAGGUUAAUAACCUUGUCGAUUGACGUUACCCGCAGAAGAAGCACCGGCUAACUCCGUGCCAGCAGCCGCGGUAAUACGGAGGGUGCAAGCGUUAAUCGGAAUUACUGGGCGUAAAGCGCACGCAGGCGGUCUGUCAAGUCGGAUGUGAAAUCCCCGGGCUCAACCUGGGAACUGCAUUCGAAACUGGCAGGCUAGAGUCUUGUAGAGGGGGGGUAGAAUUCCAGGUGUAGCGGUGAAAUGCGUAGAGAUCUGGAGGAAUACCGGUGGCGAAGGCGGCCCCCUGGACAAAGACUGACGCUCAGGUGCGAAAGCGUGGGGAGCAAACAGGAUUAGAUACCCUGGUAGUCCACGCCGUAAACGAUGUCGAUUUGGAGGUUGUGCCCUUGAGGCGUGGCUUCCGGAGCUAACGCGUUAAAUCGACCGCCUGGGGAGUACGGCCGCAAGGUUAAAACUCAAAUGAAUUGACGGGGGCCCGCACAAGCGGUGGAGCAUGUGGUUUAAUUCGAUGCAACGCGAAGAACCUUACCUGGUCUUGACAUCCACAGAACUUUCCAGAGAUGGAUUGGUGCCUUCGGGAACUGUGAGACAGGUGCUGCAUGGCUGUCGUCAGCUCGUGUUGUGAAAUGUUGGGUUAAGUCCCGCAACGAGCGCAACCCUUAUCCUUUGUUGCCAGCGGUCCGGCCGGGAACUCAAAGGAGACUGCCAGUGAUAAACUGGAGGAAGGUGGGGAUGACGUCAAGUCAUCAUGGCCCUUACGACCAGGGCUACACACGUGCUACAAUGGCAUAUACAAAGAGAAGCGACCUCGCGAGAGCAAGCGGACCUCAUAAAGUAUGUCGUAGUCCGGAUUGGAGUCUGCAACUCGACUCCAUGAAGUCGGAAUCGCUAGUAAUCGUAGAUCAGAAUGCUACGGUGAAUACGUUCCCGGGCCUUGUACACACCGCCCGUCACACCAUGGGAGUGGGUUGCAAAAGAAGUAGGUAGCUUAACCUUCGGGAGGGCGCUUACCACUUUGUGAUUCAUGACUGGGGUGAAGUCGUAACAAGGUAACCGUAGGGGAACCUGCGGUUGGAUCACCU